rnacentral:misc_RNA from 1 species
GAGCAGAGAUCAAGAACAUGAUUCAACAGCCUUGUACCAAUGCCUAGGCCUCGGUAUGGUGCUAAAACACCUAAUGUCAUGAUGUAAACACGAAAAGCCCCUCCUUCCUUCUUCUCCAGCCGGCAUGCAAUUGCACCAACACAGAUGUCACUGUAAUAUGCAAGUUUAGUGAAAUCCCCGGAAGCGAGGGCAUCAGCAUAAUAUUUGUCGUUGUAGCGAACGGGGAAUAGUGCAGUAUUUAGCUUCUUGAGUUGCAUCACGUUCUUAUCCCUCACUCCGUCCAGAGAUAUCGACACCUCACGCCCUGCCCCCAUUUUCUUUAUCUCUUCACUCUACCUAGUAUGUGU